UGGCGGCAGGCCUAAUACAUGCAAGUCGAACGGCAGCACAGCAGAGCUUGCUCUGUGGGUGGCGAGUGGCGGACGGGUGAGGAAUACAUGGGAAUCUGCCCAGUCGUGGGGGAUAACGUAGGGAAACUUACGCUAAUACCGCAUGCGCCCUUCGGGGGGAAAAGCCGGGGGACCGUAAGGCCUGGCGCGAUUGGAUGAGCCCAUGUCGGAUUAGCUAGUUGGCGGGGUAAAGGCCCACCAAGGCGACGAUCCGUAGCUGGUCUGAGAGGAUGAUCAGCCACACUGGAACUGAGACACGGUCCAGACUCCUACGGGAGGCAGCAGUAGGGAAUAUUGGACAAUGGGCGCAAGCCUGAUCCAGCCAUGCCGCGUGAGUGAAGAAGGCCCUCGGGUUGUAAAGCUCUUUUGUCCGGAAAGAAAAGCGCCGGGUUAAUACCCUGGUGUCCUGACGGUACCGGAAGAAUAAGCACCGGCUGACUUCGUG
rnacentral:rRNA from 1 species